CCUACGGGCGGCAGCAGUGGGGAAUAUUGGGCAAUGGCGGAAACUCUGACCCAGCAACGCCGCGUGAAUGAUGAAGGUCUUCGGAUUGUAAAGUUCUUUUCUAAGGGAAGAAGAAAGUGACGGUACCUUAGGAAUAAGCCUCGGCUAACUACGUGCCACCAGCCGCGGUAAUACGUAGGAGGCAAGCGUUAUCCGGAAUGACUGGGCGUAAAGGGUGCGUAGGUGGUUUGACAAGUUGGUAGCGUAACUCCGAGGCUUAACCUCGGCAGUACUACCAAAACUGUUGGACUCGAGUGCAGGAGGGGCAAAUGGAAUGCCUAGUGUAGCGGUGGAAUGCGUAGAUAUUAGGAGGAACACCAGUGGCGAAGGCGAUUUGCUGGACUGUAACUGACACUGAGGCACGAAAGCGUGGGGAGCAAACAGGAUUAGAUACCCCGGUAGUC
rnacentral:rRNA from 1 species